rnacentral:ncRNA from 1 species
GGCCAAGUUUUUAAGGGCGCACGGUGGAUGCCUUGGCACCAGGAACCGAUGAAGGACGUGGGAGGCCGCGAUAGGCCCCGGGGAGCUGUCAACCGAGCUGUGAUCCGGGGGUGUCCGAAUGGGGGAACCCGGCAGUCGUCAUGGGCUGUCACCUGCCGCUGAAUGUAUAGGCGGUGUGGAGGGAACGCGGGGAAGUGAAACAUCUCAGUACCCGUAGGAAGAGAAAACAACCGUGAUUCCGGGAGUAGUGGUGAGCGAAACCGGAGGAGGCUAAACCGUAUGUGUGUGAGACCCGGCAGGGGUUGCGCAUGCGGGGUUGUGGGAUCUCACUUCAAUGGUCUGCCGGCUGUUGGACGAGUGAAAAAUUGUUGGUGUAGGCGAAGGGCAUGCGAAAGGCCCGGCGUAGAGGGUAAGACCCCCGUAGCUGAAAUGCCAGCAACUUGUUUGUGAGACUCCCAAGUAGCAUGGGGCCCGAGAAAUCCUGUGUGAAUCUGGCGGGACCACCCGUCAAGCCUAAAUAUUCCCUGGUGACCGAUAGCGGAUAGUACCGUGAGGGAAUGGUGAAAAGUACCGCGGGAGCGGAGUGAAAGAGUACCUGAAACCGUGUGCCUACAAGCCGUGGGAGCGUCGCGUUGCGUGUUUGCACGUAACGUCGUGACUGCGUGCCUUUUGAAGAAUGAGCCUGCGAGUUUGCGGCAUGUUGCGAGGUUAACCCGUGUGGGGGAGCCGUAGCGAAAGCGAGUCCGAAGAGGGCGUUUGAGUAGCGUGUUCAAGACCCGAAGCGGAGUGAUCUAGCCAUGGGCAGGGUGAAGCGCGGGUAAGACCGUGUGGAGGCCCGAACCCACCAGGGUUGAAAACCUGGGGGAUGACCUGUGGUUAGGGGUGAAAGGCCAAUCAAACUCCGUGAUAGCUGGUUCUCCCCGAAAUGCAUUUAGGUGCAGCGUCGUGUGUUUCUUGCCGGAGGUAGAGCACUGGAUAGGCGAUGGGCCCUACCGGGUUACUGACCUUAGCCAAACUCCGAAUGCCGGUAAGUGAGAGCGCGGCAGUGAGACUGUGGGGGAUAAGCUCCAUGGUCGAGAGGGAAACAGCCCAGAGCAUCGACUAAGGCCCCUAAGCGUGUGCUAAGUGGGAAAGGAUGUGGAGUCGCAGAGACAACCAGGAGGUUGGCUUAGAAGCAGCCAUCCUUGAAAGAGUGCGUAAUAGCUCACUGGUCAAGUGAUUCCGCGCCGAUAAUGUAGCGGGGCUCAAGUACACCGCCGAAGUCGUGUCACUC